rnacentral:tRNA from 1 species
GAGGGCAUAGCUCAGUGGAAGAGCGCUUGCUUAGCAUGCGCAAGGUCCUGGGUUCAAUCCCUGGUACCUCCA